GCAAUGGAAAACACCCGUCCGGUUUGGUUUUUCAUUUUAUGACGAUGAGGUAUCGGUGGUUAACUGUGCGUUUGAGACGCUUGAAUCCACGGUAAACAAAGCGCGAAGCAAGUGAUCGUCGACAUGCCACAGCGUUGUUCUGUGCCGCUCUGUAGUAAUUAUGGUGGACAUCAGUUCCCAAAAGACAAAUAUAAACGUUUUCAGUGGAUUGUUGCAAUCAAAAGAAUUGAUCCGAAAUCAAAAAAGUUGUGGGAGCCUAAGAAUGCAGAUGUUGUUUGCCACCUUCACUUCUGCGAAAGUGAUUACAGGGACACGUCAGGUUAGAAGCCAUAAUAUCGAUCAUUAUCAAUGUAAAACACAUUUUAUAAACUUAAUGAUGAUAUUUGUCUUCCGUUUUUAUUCAUAUUCAAUUUGAGUUUCAAUUUGAUGUCAUAAAUACAGGCCAAGUAAUUGCUUCUUGUUGCGUGUUGGAAAUUUUGAUAAAAGGGCUCAUCACUUAUAAAUUCUGGCUAUAUACUAGAGCUUCCUUCCUCUAUUUCUUAGAACAAGUCAGUCUUCUUAACAAUAAAGUCAGUUCAGAUGAUGCAAUUCCUAGCCUGUAUUGCAUUAAUGAUUUCAUAUUGCUUGUAUGUACAUACAAGUGCAAGAACUUUGAAUUACAUUGCAUUUAUUUGAUUUGCAUGUGUUCGUGUUGCUUUCUGUUUUCUUUUAUAUUUCAGAAUGACGAAGGGAAUGGUAAUGACAGGCAAGUGAUAUUAUAAUAAUCUUGCUAAGAUAACCAAAUAACCAUACAUAAAGUGUAUGUAAAGCAAAGAAUAGUCCUAACAAUAAAUAUUCAGCAAUAUUAGUGUUGGAAUAAUUUAAUUACCAACAAUAAUCAGUUAUCUUUUGACUUUUUAAAGAUUAAAGCAUUAACAAUUCACUUUUUAGUCACAAAAUGUAUGACAUAGAUGGAAGGGGACACUGUACCUUAAUGUUUUCAUUCAUAAUAUCAUUUGUAUGCCAGGUUUUACAAUUAGCAUAUUCAAAAGUUGAAAUAUAUUUAAAUAAACCCUACCCCAUUUUGCCUUUGCAGACCAAAAAAAAUAAAUGUUUUUAAACUUUAUCCAAUCAAAAACAUGAAUUAAGUGAUUUAAAAUAUGCCUUUUAAUUCAUGUAUUUAUUUUUUUGGUAACAAGCUCAUAACAAAAAAUGAAAAAGUCUUUCAAAAAUUAAGAAAAUUGAAAGAGCAAACCAUCAUCUUGCUAUAAGGAUAAUGAAAUUUUGUUUUCAGCUGACCGCCUUUGCCUUAAAGAAGAUGCUGUUCCUUCCAUUCUGAUCCCUGGGGAGGAAGUUUCUGGCCCAAGCCCAAGACAGUUAAGAUUUAAGAGGAGAAACCAACCAUUGGAGGAACCUGACAUUAUGGCCAUGGGUGUACAGCAAGAAGUGGUUAUAGAUCAUACAGUAAAGACUGGGCAGGCUGAUCAAACACCAACAGAAAUCCAGGAUCUAGGAAAAAACUUUGUGCAAAAUCCCUUUGCUAUGAAAUGUUCCAUUGAAAAUUUUAAAGAUAAUGCAGAUGCUGUUUCGUAUUACACUGGUUUCAGUAAUUACGAUCAGUUUAUGAUAUUUUAUCACUGUCUUGGUCCAUGUGUAAAUGAAUUAGAUUACAAAUGUGUAACUUUAGAACCAAGGGAUCAACUUUUUUUUAACUUUGAUGAAAUUGAGACAGGCUAAAGAGGAUUUUGAAUUGUCACUUUUCUUUCAAGUUUCAGUGUCAACUGUAUCUAGGAUUGUAACAACCUGGAUAAAUUUUUUGUAUUUCCAGUUAAAGGAAAUGAACAUAUGGCCAUCACAAGACACAGUUCAAGAUUUUAUGCCUUCAAAUUUUGCAGAGAAGUUUGCAAACACUAGGGUUAUACUGGAUGCCACCAAAAUACCAGUUGAGAAGCCGUCAGAUGUCAAUGCUCAGUCCAUUACUUGGUCAAAUUAUAAGCAUAGAAAUACUAUAAAGGCAAUGAUUGGAGUGACUCCCAGAGGGGCUGUGUCAUAUGUUUCCGAUGCUUAUGGUGGGUCUGCAAGUGAUAGAAUGAUUAUUGAAAGAUCUGAUUUAUUGAAAGAUGGUAUGUUUGAGAAAGGCGACAGCAUCAUGGCUGAUCGAGGCAUCAUGGUGCAAGAUCUCUUUGCUAACAAGGAUGUUCAAGUAAAUACUCCAACAUUUUUGAAAGGUAAAUCCCAACUUGAAGCCCAUGAAGUAGUACAUGAUCGACGUGUAGCUUCAAAACGCAUACAUGUAGAAAGGGUCAUUGGUCUGGCAAAACGUUUUAAAAUUCUAAAGAAUGAACUUAGUCACAGCAAAAUUCAGCUUGGAUCCCGAAUCAUUUAUAUCUGCUUUGUGCUAAGCAAUUUUAGAAGGUCAAUUGUAGAUAAAUUUGCAUAAGUUGUGAUGAUAUUAAAGCAAAAGAGGCUAAA